AAUCAUUCCCGUUUUUCCGGUAUGCAAUCCACAAGUUGGCAUGUUUUGAUGCGAACAAACACAACCCUACUGUACUCUCUCUUAUUAUAUAGAUUCUUCUGCGACCAGAACAGCCGGCUGAACGAGCUGAUGGCCGAGACCAAGACCACGGAGUAAAGAACACUCAUUGUUAUGUAUUCUGUGCCAAGACCAAGAUAUCGCUGGCUCCCCCCUCCACUGGCAAGGACCAGAUAGCUAUAGCUGGUGACAAGGAGGGAGUGCAAGCUGCCAAGGACCACAUCAUGGCUGUCUGCAACGAAAUGCACUGACGAUGAUAUAGGAGAAGGCGAACAGCGUAGUGGAGCAGUACCUAGACGUGCCCUCCUGGAUCCACCGACAUCUGAUCGGCAAAAAGGGCGCCGACAUUCUCAAGACGAAGGAGGACAGCCCCAAGGUCUAUUUCGAAAAGAACAAGGACCGCCAGGAGAAGGACAAUCGUAUCAGAAUAGAAGGU
rnacentral:lncRNA from 1 species